GGGAAAGAGCCUGAUUCUUGGAGUUUAUGAACCAGCAGAAAAAGAUGGACAGUUCAUCCUCACUCCAUCAUCAAAGGAGUUUAAUCAAAGAACCAAUGGAAAACUUGAAAACAUCCUGAAAAUUGCUGGGAAGAAGCUCAAAUGCGGCAAAAGUCGAGUUUUGUAUGGCCUUGAUGAGAGCUUCCCUGCUGUCGCUGUUGCAAACCUGGGCAAACAAGAUGUGGGCUUUGAUGAAAAUGAACAGCUUGACCAAGGAAAGGAAAACGUCCGAGCAGCUGUUGCAGGUGCAGUCCCAAGAGCAAUAAAUGUUUAAUUGCAGAAGUCAUUACUCUAUCACCACAGAUUAUAGUAUUGUAUGUAAAUUGAAAA